UAAGUUUUGCAUGUCCUAGUCCAAUCCUCAGCAGGCCGUCUUCUGCAUUGUUCUUCUCAUCUUUUGAUAGUGCAUUUUUCUCUACUUCUUGACGGUCAGAACGAGAAUCUAACAUCUUUCUAUUAAGGUCUAAUGUUGUUGUCUCUCCGUCUUUCUCGACUGGAUUUUGCUUGUCUGUACCUACAUUUUCCUUUUGCUGCCCCUUGUUCUUCCCAUCAUGUGGAGGAGAGAAGCUUUGUGGAAGUACCUCUCUGGAGAAGAGGGCUUGAAAAGCCAGUCGUCCCUGAAUAAGCAGUGAAGCCGUAUAGCGAUCAAUGUACAAUACAAUUAGAAUAAUAAUCAAGUUAAGCUAUAUAGGAAAAUUGACACAUCAACUCACCUCUUCAGAUACCUCCUUCCAAGAAUCACUAAGGUUACUGCUGCUUCUACUACGACGGUUACAUUCAACUUGUGGAUGAUUUGGAUCAGCUCCUUUUGAAUCUUCCUUGUCUUUUUCAAGUUUUUCUAACAUGUCUGUCUCUACCUCACUACUUGAAUUGGAACCACAUGAGGACCGGUCAACUUGUUUUCUGUUCUUCAUUUUAUCUGCAUCCUGAGGCUCAAUUACUUCAGCAGCCUUCUCAUCAUCAGUAGCUUUCACUUCAGUAUUCGCUUUUGCAUCUACUCUCUCUUCACAGUCUGAUGAUGAUGAAGUAGGUGAUUUAGAUGCUGAAUGCUGACCUGGCAAAGCUUCAGAGUAUUCAGGGUAUAGUCGUUCAUCCUGAGUAGUUAGGGCUAGAUCAGUUUUAUCUUUUUGUUCCAUAUUUGCAGCUGGAAUUUGACCAUUCUCCAUUGGUGGAACUGCAGCAGUGGAUGCAGGAGCACAGGUAAAGCCUGUGUGCAGAGGAGCACAUAUAGGAAGCAGUCCAUGGGCGGUCCACCAUGCAGUGGCAGCUGCUACUGUUGCAGCAGCAAUUGCGGCCAUACUAGGAGCAGAGUUCAUUUGUGUAGAUGGGAAACCUCUUAGUUCAUUUGCAGGAGAAUCGCCAGAACUUUCAAUGUUUGCAUAUGGCCAAAAUGUAGCUGCAAAACUUGCUGCAGCAUGAGCAGCUGGAUUCUGUAACAAAGUAGAUACAAUGAGAUUGGAAAAAGUGGAGCUGACAUGUAGAAAGGAUCGAUACUCCUCUUGAUCGGGCCGAAGAUGUAUAAAGGGAGUAUGAAAAGGUGGCAAUGCCUGAUGAGUAGAUUUUGGUGCAUUAUUCUUAUGUUCAGUAGUUGCUGAUGCAGCUGGAUUUGCAAACAGGUUAGGUCCAUGAACAUUGCCCGUAGGGUGAAAUACAGAAUCUUGAAAUGACAUACCCAGGGAAGGAUUUUGAACACAUGUUCUAAGGCUUCCAUCUAGGACAUGCACAGCAACAUGCCGAGGAUAAUUUUGAGCAGCUUGCAUCUCAUCUGCACAAAAAUCACCAUCCAAAUCAUCUUUUCUCUGGCCUUGAGCUGAUUUCUCAUAUGAAGUGCAAGACUUCUCCAAGUUUGAAGCCUUACUUGUACCAUUAUCAUGAAAUGUCUGUUGGACAUUAAGUUUAUAAGGUUCACAAAUUUCUUUAAGUUCAAGAAUAACAUAGAAUUCAUGUUUUUCAUGAUUUACUACCUCUUUUGGCAAAGGUACAAACUCCCUGAAUGUACAAGAGCUUUUGAGUGCAGUUGACAUUGGUAUAAAAUUCUUAUUCAUGGAAGACGCAGAGGAGCAGUUUUGUUCGUGGAGAAGGGUAAAAACCUCAGAGCAACUCUGGUCUUGAUUUUCUUUCAGGUUUGUAGCCUUUUCAUCUCCAGUAGGUCUCUGACAAACACAAUAUAUUUGAAGCUUACGUUAAAAAGGAGAAAAGAAAAAGAACAUAAUUAAGAGCAUGAAUAAAGUAGUUGAGGAGGAGAAAGAAACCUCCGGAAGUGGUUCUUUCUCCAAGUCCAACAUUUGCUUGCAACGCAAAGAAGAUAAUGGCAUUUCAGAUUUUCCAUCCUUAGCUCCCUCUUGUACUGUAGUAGCAGCACCAGUUUUUCGAGGAUAAGGAUUGCUUGGUUUUCUUUUAGGGCGUGGAGGUGGAAUCUCUAUGUCAAGAGCUUGACCUAUUGGUACACCUUUAGCAAGUGCCUCCUUCUCCAACUGAGAAUGGAUUAUUGUCAGUAGCAUCAAUAAAAUGAUAAAACAUAAGAGAAAUCUUACGAGUUUUUGGAGGCACCAAUGAAGCAUCAAUAUAAUAUUAACAAUGUGCAACACUAAAAUUAAUGAUAGGAAUGACAUAACUAAAUGCAACAUGAUCAUAUCUAACCAGUAUAAUUCCAAAUAUUAUCAGGAAACAAGAAGUCCAAGUAUAUAAUUGCUCUACAAUCUACAAAUAUCUCACACAGGAGGUUCAUACAAAAUUUUAUACUCCUGUUGUCAAUUAAUAUGGCCUGUUUUAUAACAUUAGAUUAGAUUAGAUUCUUCUUUUAUCCUUUCAUCCCAUAACAUGUCUGCUCAAGACUCGUCAGCAAUAUAAUACUUGAAUGUAGCAGACAUAAACACAGCCCACAGUUGAACAUAUACAUAGACAAAGAUUGACUAAAUAAAAAAGGGGGGGCUGGUUUAGCCGAGCAGUCAGUUCUGCUCGGCUAAACCAACCCCCCAUUUUACUAGGAGAAGAGAGGAUUAGCUGUAUUUAGAUGAAAAGAAAAUUACCAGUGGUUUCUUAAGAAACACAGUUUAGGUACUGCAUAAAUAAGAUUAAUCAAACCAUCUAUAAUGUUCAUUGUCAUGUAAAAUUGAGAUCAUUAAAGGUUAGGACUUCAGACUGAAGAAAGUAUUUGAUAAAGCUUUAACCAUAAUAUUCUUGAACAAUCUUCAUUUGCUUACUGUCCUGAUAAGAUUUAUCACUCACGAGCUAAUCGAGAUAAAAAUGUUAUGCAUGCAUUUGUUUGCGACAUCAGAAAUAUGAAAAGGAAAAAAAGAAGGAAGUAAUGCAUUACCAUGUACCUAACUUUAACAUAAUUGGCAGGUGACUGCCGAUAACCUGCAGGAAAUAAGUCUUUAAGAGAAGAAUCCAGUAAAAUCUUACUUUUACUGAAGAUGUAUACUUAAGGAGGAUAAUCGCUUAAGACAGACCUAUAGGAUGCAUACCUCAAAUCAAACAUCAUAAUUAGCUACAAGGCACAUCUAACAGACAUGCUGCUGUGAGCUUGGCUGCAAAACUUAAGGUACUAUGGGGAAGAUUGAUCCCAGUAUGAUCACCUAGAAGGUAUAAUAUAGUUUCAAUUAGGACUUAUCUUUCUGAUUAAAAGAAAAAUAUGCAGAUCAGAAUUUUAUGUUCCACAUUACUAGGAAAGGAAAUUAGUUGUAUCAUAAAUGAUAACAUCUAUAUAGAAGGUAUGAUCCUUAAGCAUAAAUGAGUACCCAUCUUGCAUUUCAAGCUCUCCCAAUUCCCAGAAAUGGAAGAACAAAAAUAAAAUUCAUUUUUUAGAUCUAACGAGUAUCUGGCUCACACCAGCAAUAUGGCUAAUGUUUGAAGAGAUUUCUCACCAGUAAUCUAAAGUUCUAAACACAUCAACAAACUCUAUAAUUCAACAAAUUCGUGUCAUCCCUGCUAGUACUAACUACUACUCAUCAUAUCCACUCUAAUGUUAGAUAAGAUCAUUUGGUAUUAUGAGAUCAACAUCUUCAACAGCCCUAAACUAAGUAGAUAUAAGCCCUAAACUUCCACCACAUAAAGGAGAUAAUAAAAAGUAGGCAAUAAAAUGCAAAAAAGAUAUAAGCCCUUGAGAUAUUGUCUUGAAAGGAUGUGAAACUUGCCACUAUAAAAGCUUUUAACAAAAAAAUGAUCCUAAAAUCAAAAGCUAUAAGCUAUCAAAUUUACCCUAACUGCAGAUUCAUUGCCAACCUUGGAUGCUGAUGAAUUGAACUAUUAGCAACCUUGAGAUGCUCUACACAUAAAGGAUACACUAAGCGGUAAUUCUAACUUGCAAUGACUAGCAUACUGGCCAUGGAUGCUAAAGAUUUCAGUUUAAACCAGAACCAAAAUCUAUGCAUAUAAUAUAGCAACAAAGAACAUGAUAGGUGGGCUCACCCCAAAUUCACUUCCUAGUUCUAUACCUCAUAAUGAUGUAUUUUCACUCUGUAUACAAACUCACUUCUUAGUUCUUACUAUACCUCAUAAUGGUGUGUUUUCACUCUCUAUACAAAUUUAGACUACAUGUAUCUACAUGACCCUUUUAUCCAAAGAAACCAAAUAUUUUAACUUUCAAAACCUCUGCUGUGGUAGGUUAAGUACAAAAUUGCUUCAGCAAGUUCCCAGACAAGAGGAUGCCUUGCACAUAAAAGGUUAGUGAAGGGCACAUUAGAAAAAAACCUUUUAUGACAACUUAAAAAACCAAAAAUGCCCUUUUUUAUUUCGGACUCCAAGGGUGAUAAACCAUCUUGCGCAGCCAAUUUCGUACAGAGACCAAAUAAAGAGAAUUCAAAUAGCUUACAUCCCCAAAAUCAAAUUCGUAGGGAAGAUAAAAGGCUAUCACCCUAAAUACGGUUUAAAUAUUUAGCAGCUCAGAUUCUUAUUUAACUCAAGUUGCUGCCUUUUCUAUAUAUAUUAAUAAACAAACUCCAGUGUACUUCUUUACAUAGUUGGUUAUAAUUUUGAUCGGUCAUAUAUGAUUGAUGUUUUUGACACAGAAAGCUAUACAUUCGCUUCGUAUAUUUUCUUUGUUGUUUUAAAUCUAACAAAUUUGUUUAUACAAGUGAGAAAAUGAAGUAAUAGAAUAAUCAGUAAGAUUUCCCAACCGUUCAAGAUAGUACAGUUGACGAUUCGAUAUUUCAUAUAUCUCAAGCAGAAACAAGAAUUAAGCAGCAGAAAAAAAUUACAUUGAACAUAGGCAUAAGCAUAAACAAGAAGGCACCAAAUGACCUUUGAAAAGAACUUUUGAGCAUGACUCCUGAUCUGCACAGCUGUCUUUGUUCCUAUAUAUUCUGCAAAUCACCAUGUAAAAACAAAAUGGAAAGAAAAAUACAACAAUAAAUAACAAAACUAUUCAGUUGUUGGUCCUAACAAACAUAUCCUACGAAUCUUAGCCUCAAUCCACAAAAACACUAGCUCUAAAAUGAUAGCAGCAAAAUCUAAACUAAGAGGGAAAAAGCAAGUGAAAAAACCUUCAAUGCGUUGCCAAGCUCGUCCAUAGAGCUUCAAGGCCUCUAGAAACCUAUUAUGCUCUUCCUCGCUCCAUCUUUCACGUUGUUUCGUAAUAGUAUAAGGCUUCCUAGUCUAUCAUUUAACAUACAAAAUUCAAUGGUCCAAAUUAUAACAAACACAAACCCCCAUUUUUUUACAAAGCUUCAUUUAAGAGAAGAGUUUACCUUAAUAACUAGUUCUUCACCAGAGGAGUAUGUGUCCAUUGAAACAGCGUCACCGCUGCUUCAAAUCCUCUCUAACAAGCAAAGAGUAUAUCACAAACCUCCUUUCAUUUCUUCCAACAUCCAAUACGACAAAUAGUAAUGCCGUUUUUGAGCUCCACAAAACCUGAUGAAUGCUAUUUAAUACUGCAAAAAGAAAAAACACAAAAGAACAACAACAACAAAUCGAUGGAGAUCCGUCUCUGUUUGUAUUUUUAUUCCAAUUAAAUUAAUAUUAAUUUCUCAUCAUUUAAUAAAAAUAUUUACUUAAUAAAAAUUUGGGGUGAAUGCUAAAUCUCUGGAAAAAUUAAAAUAAAAUAAAUAAAAAUUAAGUAUCCACCGUAACAAAGAGAAGAGACGGCUUCUUCCAAAGAACUUAAAAGAAAAUUCUCACCAAAACGAACCCGUAGACGCCAAAACCUUUAAUAGAAAAUGAUACGAAAAAAAAAAAGAAACUUUAAUUAGUAAUCAACAACACACUUCCACUGUUCCACAUCCAAUCUAUCUAUUGACAGCCAAUAAUAAUUCUUCACCUUCUGUUUGGUCGCCGAGAAAAAAAACAAAAGGAUUCAAAUUCAAUCACUUUUCUUUCGUUACUCUACUCAGCUGCAUAUAAAGAACACAACUUCCAAACUCAGCUUAGCAAAGCCUUUAAGGAAGGCCCUAGAAAUGAAGUGUAAAUACCUUAAAGAGAUAACCAUGGAAGAUGACAACAAUGGAAGCAACGAUCACGUAUCAAAAAUGGGUUCACCGGAAACCAGCCGGAGAGCUCAUAGUUUCCGGCAAUGACAAGAUCGGAAUCAACAGAAUUGGAAAAAUUAAAAGUAGUCUUUUUUGGGAGAAAAGAACUUGAAUAAACCCAAAAAAAAAAAGUGAAAGCAAGCUUAUUUUCUGGUGAUAAACUGAAAAAACACCAGAAACUACAGUAUGGGGAAGAAACAAAAGGAGAAAUCUCAGCCACUACAAUUUCAUGAGGAUUUUUUUUUUGGAAAAUUACAAAAAUUGGGCAGAAAAUUAUGUGAGGCUAUAAAAGAAUGAACGGUAAGAUACAUUAGAUGUUGCCAAGUGGCAAUAAUUUAGUGGCUGAUUCAACUAAAAGCCCACCGUUGCACUUUUUCCCUUAUUUUUUUGAUCUUUUUUUCUUUUUGCCCUUCUUGUUUCCUACCUUCAUCUUCAAAUAUCAGCCACAAGCUCCCAAUGGUCUUGGUGUUAAAUUAGUAAAAGCGCCAUUUGGUAUACCACAUGGUUCCUGCCGUCAACGUUUACGCAAUUCGUUGGCGUGGGCAACCGGUACGUGUCGGUUACAGGGGUAGCUUUGGUGUUAAAAGCACCGGAUUUGUGACCAUUAGCCACCGUAUGAGGUGAUGAGAUUUUAGGGUUGCAACAAAUCUAGGGAUAUGCUAUGCUCCCUUCCAUAAGUACUUGUAUUUUUUAUAGAUUUGAAAUUUAGUUCCUGUACUUUUAUUUUUAGGAAUUUAGUCAUUUUACUUUUCAAAUUUUUAAAUUCAGGUUUUACUGUUAACAUUGUUAAAAUUAUUUGUUAAAUUCAAGUUCAUUAUAAUAUUAUUUUUUUAGUUAAGUUGCUACCAAGUGAAUUUUUUUUUAUUUCAAUAUGUAAUAUAAGCCAAUUUAACGAAAAAAAUUAUAACAAUGUUAACAAUUGAACCUAAAUUUUGAAAUAUAGAAAGUAAAGAGACUAAAUUUUAAAUUUACAAAGAGUACAGGGACAUGACAUAUUUUAACCUUUUUUAUUAAACUUGUGAGUUACAACUUAAUUCCUAAAUUUGAAUUUCAUUAGAGUAUAUUAGCGUGUCGCUCUAAUAUUAGGUCACAUUGUCAUUUGAAAAUUUUAAAAAUUUUAUAUGAUAUCUAAAGAAUGCAAAAGGAAAAAAUUAAAGAAAUUCAUGUGGCGAUGGGAGAUAAUCUUAUAAUGUCACAUUAUUAUACUUUAACAAGAUCUAAGAUAAGAAACCAAAUUGAGAAAAACUAUCAAGCUUAAAGACUAAUGUGGAUAAAAAAAAAGUUGAAGGAUCAAGAUGAAAAUUUUAUCAAAUUUAAGAUCUAAAUGUUGCUUUAUGAUUAUUUUUUUUUAUCUUUUUAAGAUAAGAGUAAACUCCAUCAAUAUUCUCUAAACUUCAUUUAAAAAAAUGAUGUAUCAUGUUUUGCCAUUAAUAAUAAUCAGACUAAGCUCAUUUUAAAACAACGCCCCUAUUUAUUGUAAUGAUAUAGCAUUAUUCUUAUUCAAGUGCCUUGAUGUCCUCCGCUAAUGGUUGGAGCCUCCAAUCGAUGGACCUUACAUCCUGCUCAAAACUCUUGCAUAAAGCUUUCAUGUUAGGUGCAAAGAUACCAAUAGUGAAUCCAAACCUCUUUGCCUCAAUCAUUGCUUCUCUUAUUACGAAUAAAAUAGCUUGCUUAGUGGUAACCUCAUGUAAUGUGCUACAAAAACUUGUAAAUUUUAUUCAUUGAAUAUUAAAGAUUGUUAGAGACACUCCGAGGAAGAUAGUCCCUUUCUUCCAAGCUACCAAAGCAAUUCCCGAUAUAGUACCAUGAGGAACAUUCGAUCUAAUUGAUUUGCUCUGUUGUAUUCGAAAAUACCUCUCCGUAGCAUUCUUCCAUUUCUUGUCCUCAAACACCUAUAUUUCAUAGUCCUUGAAGAUUUCAAACCCUGUUGAUUACACUUAAGGAUUAACAUCAUAUCCUUUAAAAUAAUAUUCAUUUAUAUGAAUCCGUAUAUUCUAUAAGAUGCAAAUAAUCACUUAAUGCGUAUCAUCUAUUAAUAAAAGAGAAAAAUUGAUGUUGAUUGUAACACCCCUAACCCGUAUCCGCUGCCAGAACAGGGUUUCAGAGCAUUACUACCAUUUACAGAUCACUAAAAAAAAUUUAAAUACUUACCGAUUCAAUGCAUCAUAUAAAUAAAUAUAUUACCAUUCAAUCAACAGUUUGACACUUGUAUAAGCAUCAAACAACAACAUUGUUAGUAUACUUGCACAUAUCUCAUAUAAAGUCAACAUUGAUAUAUCUAUUUUCUCGACAUAUCGCACUUGAGUUUAAUAAUAGUCUCAACUUACAUAAUUUCCUUGUAUCAACAUAUCAAAGAUAAUCAUAUAUGUACAUGUCAUGAAACAUAUCAUGCUCUUACCGUUUCUUCAUAAGCAUAUAUCAUUCAUUUCAUUAUAUCAAUAUUUCAUACUCCAUCAUUUCCAUAUAUUUUAUGUAUAUUUAUUCCGGUAAUAGCUUAUAUCAAACUUAACAUAAAUUAUAUUCCAUGUACUUAUACUUAUUUCGUUUAUCUAUCUUCAUAAUUAUUUCAUAUAACCAUUCGUCAUCUGAUACAUAUUACCUGAAUAUCAAUUGUUCAACAGAUGUUAGAGCGUCUCCCAUCCACGGUCUUAUUUAUCUUUGACAUGAUGCCAUAGUGUCUUUCAACUAUGGUCUUACUCAUUUUCUGUCAUGUUGCCAUGGUAUCUUUCAACCAUGGUCUUGUUCAUUUCAUAUCACGUUGCCAUGGUAUCUUUCAACCAUGGCCUUACACAUUUCAUAUCUGGUUGCCAUGGUAUCUUUCAACCAUGGCCUUACACAUUUCAUAUCAGGCUGCCAUGGUAUCUUUCAACCAUGGCCUUACACAUUUCAUAUCAGGUUGCCAUGGUAUCUUUCAACCAUGGUCUUACACAUUUCAUAUCAGGCUGCCAUGGUAUCUUUCAACCAUGGUUUUACACAUUUCAUAUCAGAGAGCACACUCCCGCGAACCUCAUCCUUACAGUGGGAUUACCAGUCCAGGCUAAAUCCCUUGUAAUAUAAACUCAUAGAGUAUUGUCGGGAUUACCAGUCCAGGCUAAAUCCCCUGCAACGACAAUUACUCUAAUGAGCUUGGAUCUGAAUUACCAGUCCAGGCUAAAUUCAGACCCUAAUUCGGAUUACCCGUCCGGGCUAAAUCCAUUUUACACGUAUUCUUCGGGAGGGCUAUAUCAAGAUAGGAUCACCCGUCUGGGCUAGAUCCUUUUUACCGUCAAUUCCUUUUCAGAGAUCCAUCGAAUUUUCCUUUCAUUCAACCGAGAUUUCUUCCCAUUUUAUCAAAUAUAUCAAUGUUUCAUAAAUUUUCAUACAAUGAACAUUCAAAUCAUAUUCACAUCAAUAACAUACAAUCUCAAGUAUUUAAGAAUAUAAUUCAAGUUACACGAACUUACCUCAUUGCUUGUUUGUGUUUAUAAUUUCAUUAAUCCGAUAUCUUUUCUUUUCCACAAUCAAGUCUCAUAUUUGAGUCGUCCGGAUCUUUAUAAAUAAAUUUGAUCAUCAUUUUCAUUCAUUUCAUCUUCUAAUGCAUUUAAUUAAUGCUCUAGGCAAGAUUACCAUUUUGCCCCUAAACUUUUAAUUAAUGACAAUUUCGUCCUUAGGGUCAAGAAAAUAAAAUUCUUGCAAUUUAAUCCUUAUUUCCAGCUAUUAUUCUCAUAUAUAUUGAUAACAGUCCAUGGAUUCUAUAAAAUAUCAUAAUUUUCCAUAAUUUCAACACUUUUCAAUUUAAUCCCUAAAACAUGUUUUCCCCCGAUCUUGAACUAAAUUAAUAAUUUCAUUCAAUUUUGUAAUUUAAAUAAUAAAAUAAUCCAUUUCAUGCAAUUUGGUUAUUUUUGACAUUUUUACAAAAUUACCCAUAAAGUUUUACUUUUAUUCAAUUUAGUCCCUAAGCCUAAAAUAUGCAAAUUAACCAUGCUUAAUGAAUAUUCAUAUAUUUUUUCCUCCUCCUCCUCUCCAUUCCACAUACUUGAUGUAUGUAGCACACUUGUAAGUAACAUUAUCUAAAUCUUUAUUAUUUACUUUUAUGAAUAUUCAAGCUGUCCAUCUGUGUCAUAGUCACUAAAUUAUUUAUAUCUGGAUCUAUAGGACUCCAAAUUAAUAUCCGCUAAUUUUCCCUGAAACUAGACUCAUAUAUCUUCUUACCAUAAAAUUUUCAGAAUUUUUGGUUUAGUCAAUAAGUACAGUUUAUUCUUUAAAUUUACCCCUAUUCUGCUGUCUGACAGUUGUGACCCUUCUUCACUAAAAAUUAAUUAUCUCCUUGUACAGAAUUCGAAUGAUGUUCAUAUUUGUUUCUAUUGAAAAUAGACUCAUUCAGGAUUAUAAACAUAUAAAUUUAAUCCCCUAAUUAUUUUUAUCCAAUUUUUUUAUGAUUUUACAAAUUCAGAAUAGGGGAACCCGAAAUCAUUCUGACCUUGUCUCACAAAAUUCAUCAUAUUUCAUGAUUUAGAAUUCCAUUGCUUACAUAAUUUCUUCUAUAAGAAACUAGACUUAAUAAGAUUUAAUUUAAUAUUUUAUUCAUCCUAUAAUUAGAUUUCUACAAUUUUUGAUGAUUUUUCAAAGUUAGACUACUGCUGCUGUCCAAAACUGUUUUAGUACAAGAUAUUAAUUACCAUGUUAUAACAUCCUUAUUUUCUUUUUCUACACCAUUGCUCAUCACUUUCUCUUAUUUUUUCUUCACUAACAUAUCAAGAACAUAGGACCUUAUGUAAGAAAACUCUACUAUAACAUUAUUUCCAUGCUUUAUCAAUAAUAACAAACUUAAAAACAUAUUGAAAUCUUGAUGUACUUACCUUUUCUUAUUGACUUCAAUCUUUAACUUGAUUUUUCUCUCUCCUCCAGCUUCGAUUUCUUGAAUCCAACUUGAUAUUCUUGCUCCCCAUCAUCUCCUUGCUAUCUUUCUCUCUUGAUGGCUAUGGAAAUUCUUUCAAUUUUUAGGUGAAAAUAAUGAAUUUUUGGUGGAAGGACUAAAUUGUAAAGAAAGCAAACUUCUUUUCUUCUUCUUAUCUUGCGUUAGUUUGCAUGGGAAAGGAAAUGUGUUGAUAAUUCUUCAUCUUUCCUUCCUUUUAUACUAAAUAAAUAAUAAUAUAAUAAUAAUAAACAUCUCAUAAAAUAUUAAUAAAAUAAUAUUUAUCUAAUUAAUUAAUUUAAAAUAUCAUCAACAUAAUCAUUACAUUCUAGAAUUCUCUCUCUUAAUUAAUUGACCAUUUUGCCCUUCAUGAUCUUUUAGAAUUCCAUCCUUGAGUCAUCACUUAAUUUGGUAAAAUUACGAUUUAGUCCCUCAUAAUUUUUUUACCUAUUCAAUUUGGUCCUAAUUCAUCAAUUUUUCUUGGUUUCUAGAUCAUUCCACCCUUAAAAUAUUUGCACCAUUAGUCCUUCAAUUUUUUAUAUUUACACUUCAACCCCUUAAAUUUUGAGUAUUUACUCUUGUGCAACAAGACUUUUCUCAUCUUUGCAAUUUAGUCCUUUCUUGAAUUAAUAUAUCAUAAUAUACUUCUCAAUAUUGACAUCACUCAAAAACUCCCUUUUGGUCACUUUAUUUCCUUAUUUUACUAUAUCACGGAUAAUAUUUUACUGUAAAAAUUUUCGGGGUAUUAUAUUGAUGCAUUUCCUCCUUAAUAUAACAUGCAAGAUAAAACUCUGAAUAUCACAAUUAUUAACUUCAGUCGGCUUAAAACCUAAAAUCAAUUCCAACCAAACUACUCUAACUAAGAAGAGAUGAUCAUAGGAUUCCAUAUAUUAGCCACAAAAGCUACAAGUUGUAUCAAAACAAUUAAUUCUUCUACCUAUUUCCUCUUUUAAAGGCAAAACUUUGACACAUAUUUUUUAUAGAAAUAGUAAUUCAAAAGAUUAAUAAUUAAUUUGAACUAUCAUUUUAAUAUUUUUAAAAUUUUUUUAAUUAUUUUAAAAAUUACUUAAAAAUUAUUAAAAUUUUAACCUAAUCCUUUAAACCGGAGCUUUUGGGUUUUACUUUUUUUUUUUUAAAACUUAAUCCUUUGAUGUUUUUCUUAUUCUUUUUAAAUCACACCAAACUGUUAUUUUAGCGUAUACCAAUGAUUAAAGUAUACAAAUUCUCAAAAUUAGAACAGUUAUUUUUAUAAUAAAAUUAUUAAAAUAUAAAAAUAACUCAAUAUUGAAUCAGUUAUUUUUCAAUUUAACAGAUAUUAUUAUGGAAAAAAAAGCUGGGUUUUAAUUAAGAGAACCCAAAACCCCAAUCUUUAAAUUCUACUGAUUUAAUCAAAUUAGCAAAAGUUAAAAAAAAAAAAAAACGACAGUUAGACUACAAGGGAAAAACCAAAAGAGAAAAAAAUUUAUUUUCGUUCUUUUAAUGAUUUUUAUAAUUUUUAAUUAUUUUUAAGAUUUAAAAAAUUGAAAAUAUCAAAAUGAUAUUUUUAACUAUAAUUUAAUAAACAAAUUAAUUAUUAAUCCUUUAAAUUAAGUAUCAUGUUGUUCCCUAACAGAAAUUAACGGACGAAUAAUUAAAAUAUAAUAUUUAAAUAAUAUUAAUAAUCAUUUCGUAUCUUUUAAAAAUUCAAUCAUUCAAUUAAAUAAAAUUAAAUAUUCAAUCGUUACACAAAUUACUAGAGCCAUUGAAAUAAACCAAAAACGGUUCUUAAUUUGUCUACAAAGUCAACACUCUAUCCUAUACACUCACAUGAAUAAAAUUUCAAUUCGGUCAGCCCCUUAAUUAUUAGAUUUAUUCAUGUUAUGCUAAUUAUUCAUUAUCAUCCAAUUCAUACAUUAAUUUGCCUUAAUUAUCCUAAAUUAACAUAGUUAACAAUUAAUCAAGAGGGAAAACAGUUCAUUUGAGUACUCACUAUUUAAUAAUUUCCAGCCAAUAAUGAAAUCAAGUCCUUGAUAUAAUUACACUCAAAUCCCUCUAAACUUCUAUUACUUUUUAAAGUAGUCCCCACCAAUUCACAUUUGUAUCCCUCCACUUUAAGCAUUUAUGUACUAGAUAAUCCCCACUUCAGUUUUCCUACUAUUUUCUCUUAAAUUACACCAUCUCAAUUUACUUAUUUCAUCAUAAAUAUUUAAGUUCACUGUUUAUCUCGAAAUUUACUAUCCGGAUGAUACCAUUUCGUGGUCUAAAUUUUGAAUAGUUUAAAUAUUAUAAAUUUUAAAAAAAAUCUCAAUAAAUUUUGAUAUUGAAUAAAUUGUUCUUCUAAAAAAAUCAAAUCAAUUUAAUCCCUGACAAGUUUAAAAUAAACACUUAAGACAAUUAAUCACACUGUAAUUAUUUUUCAUGAUAUAUAUAUUAUUAAUACAAUUACAAAUUUAACCCACAACAUUUAUAUAUUCUAUCAAUCCAAUUUAGAUGUAAUUAAUUUAAUCCACAAAUUUUUCUCAUUGUCAACAUUUAUGUAGAAUAUAUAAACAUUAAAAAUUAAAUUUAUUAUUAUACUAAUAAAAAUUAUAUAUAUAAUUGACGGAAAAACAUCACUAUUAUAACCAAUUAUCAUUAGUUGCUAUUUUUUAAAUCUACAAACAUCAAUUACUCCAAUUUUGAGAAAAAUUUAAAACCGACUAGAGUAACCAAAAACAAACUUUACUACCGGACAUCCAGAGAAAAUAUCCAUAGUAGAUGUAGAUCAACUAUAUGCUACGGAAUUAAUUUCAAAAAAGUUCUAUGCUGGAGAGAUGUCGGUACCAUUUGUAUCUUCGUCUUCAAAAUCUUGAAAAAUAUGUUAUUAUUGUUUUGGGAAAUAUGUUUUCCUGAACUAAAGUAAAUUGGAAAAUAUUUAGUGCAUUGGUAAUUUUUAAAUAUUAUUUUUGGAAUAAAAAAUUAUAUUCUCAAUGUAUUAUAUACUAAUUCAAAUAAAUUUUAGUUAAAAAUGAUGAUAAACUAAUUUUUAAUAAAAGUAAUAUUAAGUACUAAACAAUUAAAUACAUCAAAAGUAACAUGUUUAUUGUAUAUAAAAGUGAAUAAAAUAUAUACAAAACAUAAAUAAUAUGAAAAUAUAUUAUUUAAUUUUAAUAUUGACAACACUACUUAUCAGAUAUAUGUAUACAUUUGCAAAGCUUCCGAAAACAAAAAACCACAAUACAAAAACAAUGAGUCAAUUGGUAACUAAACACUAAAGCAAACAGACAAGGCUUGGAAGGAAAAAAAAGAGUAGAUAUACUUUUUGGUUCUCUUAUGACUUUAUUAUUUAGAUUGGUACUUAAUAAAAGAGUCGACUUCUUGGGGCAGCCAACUCAAACUCUCAACAAUUGAAAAUAUUGUAUUGACAUUAAGGUUUUGUCUAGCUUCCAUAGAAAGUCAUGUACAGUUCACAAGAAAAGUACUUUAAUUAAUGGAAAUAGAUAUCUACAAAACUCGGAAAAAAUAUCAAUAUAAAGUGUGCAAAUAAUAAUGAAAAUACUUAGGUACCCCACAACUUAAGACACCAAGGUACCUCCAUUAUUAUUCACCCACCUAUACUCUCACUUCUCCCGAGUCUUGCAGGUGACUAUUUCCACCAACUGAGGUACCCCUUGAUAAAUCGUACAUGACUCUCCAUAAAAGUUAAGGACAAAACCUCGACACAAGGAUAAAACCUUCAAUUAUAGAGACCGAAUCAACUACCCGACAAACGACAUUCCAAGUAGGAGCCAAUCCCCCCUCAAUAGUACCUAAUUUCUUUAUAUAUUUUUUUCAGACUAAAAUUUGAUUUCCACCACACAUGUUAGCCCAUUUUUGAACCUUCGUUAAUCUUGAUUUAACCACAUGGGACACAUCAUGUCAUCAACUAUGUACCUACCAUGUGUAGUAAAUUUAUUGGACCACAUAAUCCAAUUUUAAAAGAGUUACAAAAAAUUGACUAAAACCUGUAAGAAAAGCCAAAUUCGAGUACCAAUCUGAACAAAAAAUAUAUAUGUACCAAUUUAUACAUCAAAACCAAACGUACCAAAAAAUAUAUCUACCUAGAAAAAACUAAGCAUAAAAACAGUUGAACUAUGAACUCAGUGGGGCAAUCUGUUUAAAUUGCCUUUUCAUGCAUAAUAAAGGUUUCAGCUUCAGCUAGAGUUCACUAAGCAAAAGGUAUAAGAAUAAUGAUAAAGACAAAGGCAUUCAGAUUCAAUACUUCCUUUAAAUGCUUCUAUCUCAGAGGGAGUUUUUUAACUGCAGUAGCAAGCAUAAAAAAGUCCAGGAAAGCGAAUAAGUCAAUGUAGAUAUUAGAUAGUACACAACACCACCUACACGAAAAGUCUCGUGAGCUGCAAUCGAAUAAAAGUCUUUUAAGAUCAACAUAUGAAAAGGAAAUAAGAUAUGGGGGAAGAACAUUAGAGAUUGCAUUCAACAAACAAACUUUGCCUUUGUUAAUUGUAUGCAAUUGUGUAAAAGUCAAGUUGACGGUUCCCCUUCCAAGCGUACCCUCUUGGGACAUUUCUCUUCACCUUGACUGCCAGUGUUCAUCACUCUGUUUUCUUUGGCUUCCACAGAACACCUUUUGUAAGGUUUAAAUCCAGUUCGGCCAGCUUUUAGUUUUGAAUGUCCUAAUCCAAUAGUCAGCAGGCCCUCUUCUGUACUGUUCUUGUCUCUUGAUAAUGCAUUUUUCACAGUUUCUUGAUGAUCAGAACAAGAACCCCAUGUAUUGCUGUUGAGAUCUAAAGUUGAUAUUUCUUCGUCUUCCUCAGCUGGAUUUUGCUUGUCUUCACCUAUAUUUUCCUUUUGCUGCCCCUUGCUCUUGCCGUCAUGUGGAGGAGAAAAGCUUUGUGGGAGUACCUCCCGGGAGAAGAGGGCUUGAAAAGCUAGCCGCCCCUGAAUAAGUAGUGGAGCCAUACAGUGGCAAUUGUACAAAACAAUUAGAAUAAUAAUUAAAGUUGGGCUAUAUGGGAAAAUUGACAUAUCGACUCACCUCUUCAGAUACCUCCUUCCAAGAAUCACUCAGGUUGCUAUUGCUUCUACUACUACGACGGUAACAUUCAACUUGUGGAUGAUUGGGGUCAGCUCCUUUUGAAUCUUCCUUGUCUUUUUCAUGUUUUUCUAACGCAUCUGUCUCUACCUCACUGCUUGAAGGAGUGUUGGAGCCACAUGAGGACCGGUCAACUUGUUUUUUGUUCUUUGUUUUAUUUGCAUCCUGAGGCUCAAUUACUUCAGCAGCCGUCUCAUCAUCGGUAGCUUUCACUCCAGUAUUCACUUUUGCAUCUCCUCUCUCUUCACAGUCCGACGAUGAUGAAGUAGGUGAUUUAGAUGAUGAAUGCUGACCUUGCAAAGCUUCAGAGUUCUCAGGGUCUAGUUGCUCAACCUGCAGAGAUAGAGCUUGAUCAGUUUUACCCUUUUGUUCUGUCUUGGCAGCUGGAGGUUGACCAUUCUCCAUUGGUGGAACUGCAGCAGUGGAUGCAGGAAAACAGGUAAAGCCUGUAUGCAGAGGAGCACAUACAGGAAACAGUCCAUGGGCGGCCCACCAUGCAGUGGCAGCUGCUACAGUUGCAGCAGCGAUUGCAGCCAUUCUUGGAGCAGAGUUCAUUUGUCUAGAUGGGAAACCUCCUAAGCCGCCUGCAGGAGAAUCGCCAGAGCUUUCAAUAUUCGCAUAAGGCCAAAAUCUUGCUGCAAAGCUUGCUGCAGCAUGGGCAGCUGGAUUCUGUAACAAAGUAGAUACAAUGAGACUGGAAAAAGUGGAGGAGACAUGUAGAAAUGAUCGAUAGUCCUCUUGAUUUGGGCGAAGAUGCAUAAAGGGAGUAUGAAAAGGUGGCAGUGCCUGCUGAGUUGAUCUCGGAGCAUUAUUCUGAUGUUCAGUAGUUGCAGAUGCAGCUAGAUUUGCGGACAGGUUAGGUCCAUGAACAUCACCCAUAGGGCAAAAUACAGAAUCCUGAAAUGACAUAUCCAGGGAAGGAUUUUGAGCACAUGUUCUCAGGCUUCCAUCUAGGACAUGCACAGAAACAUGUCUAGGAUAAUUUUGAGCGGCUUGCAUUUCAUCUGCACAUAAAGCACCAUCCAAAUCAUCUUUUCUUUGGCCUUGAGCUG
rnacentral:lncRNA from 1 species